rnacentral:misc_RNA from 1 species
AUCAAGGCAGGUUGCAG